rnacentral:rRNA from 1 species
CCGGGCGCAGCAGUAGGGAAUUUUCGUCAAUGGGCGCAAGCCUGAACGAGCAAUGCCGCGUGAACGAGGAAGGUCUUCGGAUCGUAAAGUUCUGUUGAAGGGGAAAAAGAGCGGAGAGAGGAAAUGCUUUCUGAUUGAUAUUACCCUUCGAGGAAGUCACGGCUAACUACGUGCCAGCGGCCGCGGUAAUACGUAGGUGGCGAGCGUUAUCCGGAAUGAUUGGGCGUAAAGGGUGCGUAGGCGGCCUGCUAAGUCUGGAGUGAAAGGUACCGGCUCAACCGGUACAGGCUCUGGAAACUGGCGGG